rnacentral:tRNA from 1 species
GGAGUUGGUAGCUCAGUUGGUAGAGUGCUUGCCUUGCAUACCCGAGGCCCUGGGUUCAAUUUCCAGCCCCA